rnacentral:rRNA from 1 species
UGGGGAAUAUUGCACAAUGGGCGCAAGCCUGAUGCAGCAACGCCGCGUGAACGAUGAAGGUCUUCGGAUCGUAAAGUUCUGUUGCAGGGGAAGAUAAUGACGGUACCCUGUGAGGAAGCCCCGGCUAACUACGUGCCAGCAGCCGCGGUAAUACGUAGGGGGCUAGCGUUAUCCGGAUUUACUGGGCGUAAAGGGUGCGUAGGUGGUCUUUCAAGUCGGUGGUUAAAGGCUACGGCUCAACCGUAGUUAGCCUCCGAAACUGGAAGACUUGAGUGCAGGAGAGGAAAGUGGAAUUCCCAGUGUAGCGGUGAAAUUCGUAGAUAUUGGGAGGAACACCAGUAGCGAAGGCGGCUUUCUGGACUGCAACUGACACUGAGGCACGAAAGCGUGGGUAGCAAACAGG